rnacentral:rRNA from 1 species
AUUGAACGCUGUCGGCAGGCCUAACACAUGCAAGUCUAACGAGUGGCGGACGGGUGAGUACUGUCUUGGAAACUGGCUGAUUGAGGGGGAUAACUACUUGACACGGUAGCUCAUACCGCAUACCAUCAGAUUUGCCACGGUGGGAGUAGCUAGUUGGUUGGGUAACGGCUCACAAAGGCGACGAUCCCUAGCUGGUCUGAGAGGAUGAACAUCCACACUGGAACUUAGACACGGUCCAGACGCCUACGGGAGGCAGCAGUGGGGAAUAUGGCACAAUGGGCGCAAGACUGAUGCAGCCAGGCCGCGUGUAUGAAGAAGGCCGUCGGGUUGUAAAGUACUGUCAGCGGGGAGGCGUUACCCGCAGAAGAAGCACCGGCUAACUCCGUGCCAGCCGCCGCGGUAAUAC